CGGAGCGCUGGGUACCGGGGAUGCAGAGCGCUGGGUACCGGGGAUGGGGAGAGCUGGGUACCGGGGAUGGGGAGAGCUGGGUACCGGGGAUGGGGAGAGCUGGGUACCGGGGAUGCAGAGCGCUGGGUACCGGGGAUGGGGAGCUGGGUACCGGGGAUGGGGAGCCCGGGGCUGCACCGGGUGGAGAUGGGGACAGUCGCGGUAACACGCUCAGGCUGCUCGGUGUCACGGAAAGUUUGAGCCCCCUGGGCAGAGCGUUGCCCUCUCCUGGACUCUGCUCCCCGCUUUCCCCGAUGGAAGCUUUGUCCUCUCCCUGGAAAAGCUGGCUUUCCCUGGCACGGAGUGCCAAAGGAAGCAUCCUGCUCCCCCGGGCUCCCCACAGAGCGAGGGAACGACUUCAACAGCAAGGAUCAAACCCUGACGGGAGGUAAAGUGAUAAAUAUCACAAACUACAGUUCACAUCCAGCGUUUUUAACCUUCUCACGAGGGCACAGCCUCCCCUGAACAGCCCCGGUAUCCUGGUUUUCUGAGCUCCAUGCAUGUGCCACGGUUAACCCUGGCUUUCAGAAAGAUGGCACCAACAGGCAUUAGAAACUCCAACAACCUUGAGUCAUUGUGUCCUACAAGGCAACUUUUCAAAAGGAAUCCCUGAUUAUCCAGCCUCAGUUUUGUUGCUUUGUCACCACAAGCAGCUCUGGGGAAGCCCCAUGUUCAUCAUGAAUUGAUGAUGAUGAUGAAUUGAAGCCUCCACGUUGUCUGUGAACUCCUGGCUUUCCCCACUGGAGUUUUCCCCGUGUGGAAUCUGCCCCCUGCAAGAGUCACCAGCAUCACUGUGAGGCCUGGGCUGUGGAAGGAGUAAAACUUGUCUAGAAAAACGUUUGUUACUUUCAGAUAUUGCAAUAUUCCAAAGCUGAUGGCUCGCUCUGCUCUCCCUGAGUCAUUUCUGACAUACUUCAGGCACAUAUUUAACAUCAAGGAGUGAACCCUUUAUCUCCAGCCUUAACAUUUUCCUCCACCACGGGAACAGCUAAUGCACAAAAGUAACUUUCCUCAGUGUUAUCUUCAAAGUUGGGAACAUAUUUGGUUGCACAGUACAAUAACUGCAUUCAUAUUUCAUGGAUUUUUAAAUUCAGCCUGUAAGCGUGGACAGCUCAUCACUGAUACAUCAGGGAAAUGCUGUGAAAAAACAAAAAACUUAUUGUGCUCUUAGCAGAGGAGAUUGCUGCAUGCUUCCCUCAAGGAUAUUAAAAAAUCUGUGCCAUGGUUAUCAAUAAGAAUCUUUCAGGGUCAGCAUUUAGAAAGAAUGGCUUCAGCUCUUGACUGACUUCAGAAAUUAAGGAACUCACAAAAAGUAAAAUCAUAGCUUAAAGUCAACUACUCCUCAGUUUUGCUGCUUUUCAAUAUUCAUCUUGAUGACCAGAAUCUAAUUCUUAAAUCAUUUUAUUACUGGAGCUUGUUUGAAAAGCUUCAGCUUAUUUCUUGAAAAACAGGGGGGGAGAAGAGCAAGAGGAGCAAAUUCAUUGAAAUUUUGAUAAAUCAUCAAAAAAAAAGGCAGAAAAUGCAUUUUAAAUAUUAAUUCCUUAUGUGACUAGAAAAUAAAUUCUCGCUUAUUUCUUUUUUACUACAGAAAACAUUUAUAUGGCCUAAGUUAUUUCAGCACCUAAUCAUCACCUGGUAGUCCUUGAGCCAGGGAAUAAAUACCAUUGUUUCUUCA